rnacentral:rRNA from 1 species
AACGAACGCUGGCGGCAGGCCUAACACAUGCAAGUCGAACGCUGUAGCAAUACAGAGUGGCAGACGGGUGAGUAACGCGUGGGAACCUUCCCAAUGGUGCGGAAUAGCCCAGGGAAACUUGGGGUAAUACCGCAUAAGCCCUUAGGGGGAAAGAUUUAUCGCCAUUGGAUGGGCCCGCGUCGGAUUAGCUAGUUGGUGAGGUAAUGGCUCACCAAGGCAACGAUCCGUAGCUGGUUUGAGAGAAUGACCAGCCACACUGGGACUGAGACACGGCCCAGACUCCUACGGGAGGCAGCAGUGGGGAAUCUUGGACAAUGGGCGCAAGCCUGAUCCAGCCAUGCCGCGUGAGUGACGAAGGCCUUAGGGUUGUAAAGCUCUUUUGCCGGGGACGAUAAUGACGGUACCCGGAGAAUAAGGACCUGCUAACCUCGUGCCAGCCGCCGCCGUAA